rnacentral:rRNA from 1 species
GAUGAACGCUAGCUACAGGCUUAACACAUGCAAGUCGAGGGGCAGCAUGAUUGAAGCUUGCUUCAAUUGAUGGCGACCGGCGCACGGGUGAGUAACACGUAUCCAACCUUCCGUACACUCAGGGAUAGCCUUUCGAAAGAAAGAUUAAUACCUGAUGGUAUCUUAAGCACACAUGUAAUUAAGAUUAAAGAUUUAUCGGUGUACGAUGGGGAUGCGUUCCAUUAGGUAGUAGGCGGGGUAACGGCCCACCUAGCCUACGAUGGAUAGGGGUUCUGAGAGGAAGGUCCCCCACAUUGGAACUGAGACACGGUCCAAACUCCUACGGGAGGCAGCAGUGAGGAAUAUUGGUCAAUGGACGAGAGUCUGAACCAGCCAAGUAGCGUGCAGGAUGACGGCCCUAUGGGUUGUAAACUGCUUUUAUAAGGGAAUAAAGUGAGUCUCGUGAGACUUUUUGCAUGUACCUUAUGAAUAAGGACCGGCUAAUUCCGUGCCAGCAGCCG